rnacentral:rRNA from 1 species
UACAGAGGUCUCAAGCGUUGUUCGGAUUCACUGGGUUUAAAGGGUGCGUAGGUGGGUUAGUAAGUCAGUGGUGAAAUCCCCGAGCUUAACUUGGGAACUGCCAUUGAUACUAUUAAUCUUGAAUAUUGUGGAGGUUAGCGGAAUAUGUCAUGUAGCGGUGAAAUGCUUAGAUAUGACAUAGAACACCAAUUGCGAAGGCAGCUCACUACACAAUCAUUGACGCUGAGGCACGAAAGCGUGGGGAUCAAACAGG